UACGUAGGGUGCAAGCGUUGUCCGGAAUUAUUGGGCGUAAAGAGCUCGUAGGCGGCUUGUCGCGUCGACUGUGAAAACCUGGGGCUUAACUCCGGGCCUGCAGCCGAUACGGGCAAGCUAGAGUUCGGUAGGGGAGACUGGAAUUCCUGGUGUAGCGGUGAAAUGCGCAGAUAUCAGGAAGAACACCCGUGGCUAAGGCGGCUCUCUAGUACGGUACUGACGCUGAGACGCGAAAGCGUGGGGAGCGAACAGG
rnacentral:rRNA from 1 species